rnacentral:rRNA from 1 species
CCUACGGGAGGCAGCAGUGAGGAAUAUUGGUCAAUGGGCGAGAGCCUGAACCAGCCAUCCCGCGUGCAGGAUGACGGCCCUAUGGGUUGUAAACUGCUUUUCUACGCCAAGAAACGCCCUUACGUGUAAGGGACUGACGGUAGCGUAGGAAUAAGCAUCGGCUAACUCCGUGCCAGCAGCCGCGGUAAUACGGAGGAUGCAAGCGUUAUCCGGAUUCAUUGGGUUUAAAGGGUGCGCAGGCGGGGAUGUAAGUCAGUGGUGAAAAACUGCUGCUCAACGGUAGUCGUGCCAUUGAUACUGCAUCUCUUGAGUUUGGAUGAGGUAGGCGGAAUGUGCAGUGUAGCGGUGAAAUGCAUAGAGAUUGCACAGAACACCAAUUGCGAAGGCAGCUUACUAAUCCACGACUGACGCUGAGGCACGAAAGCGUGGGGAGCGAACAGGAUUAGAUACCCUGGUAGUCCACGCCGUAAACGAUGUUCACUCGCUGUUUGCGAUACACAGUAAGCGGCUUAGCGAAAGCAUUAAGUGAACCACCUGGGGAGUACGAUCGCAAGGUUGAAACUCAAAGGAAUGA